rnacentral:rRNA from 1 species
UACGAAGGGGGCUAGCGUUGUUCGGAAUCACUGGGCGUAAAGCGCACGUAGGCGGAUGUGCCAGUCAGGGGUGAAAUCCCGGAGCUCAACUUCGGAACUGCCUCUGAUACAGCACGUCUUGAGUCCGGAAGAGGUGGGUGGAAUUCCUAGUGUAGAGGUGAAAUUCGUAGAUAUCAAGCGGAACACCGGUGGCGAAGGCGGCCUUCUGGACAGUGACUGACGCUGAGACGCGAAGCGUGGGGAAGCAAACAGG